rnacentral:rRNA from 1 species
UACGUAGGGGGCGAGCGUUGUCCGAAGUUACUGGGCGUAAAGCGCGCGUAGGCGGGUCAUUAAGUGAGAAGUGAAAGGCUGGGGCUCAACCGCAGCAGGGCUUCUCAUACUGGUGAUCUUGAGGGCGGUAGGGAGAAGUGGAAUGGCUGGUGUAGCGGUGAAAUGCGUAGAUAUCAGUCGGAACACCGGUGGCGAAGGCGGCUUCUUGGGCCGUUCCUGACGCUGAGGCGCGAAAGCCAGGGGAGCGAACGGG